rnacentral:lncRNA from 1 species
AAAGACUCCCUCAGUAUCUUAUACUCCUCCAACUCACUAAAGUAAGUUCAAGAAGUGGGGGGCAAUGAUAGUACCCACUUUACACUCCCCGUUGUCACCAAUCGGGCCUCCCCGCAGACAGCCAAGAAGCCAACAGACAACGGGUGUUCCCGUCAUCCAGCAGCAAGGAUCUCCUAUAAAUAACUAAAAUAAGAGACUUAGGUGAGAGGUCGAGGUAAGUUCAUCUUCACUAACAACAUUUUAUCAUAAGUUCAUAAAAAUACAUCCAACUGAUUAUCACACCGGAGGGGCUUGACGGCCACCACCCCCGGUCGAGCCUUGUUUUGCAGGACUCCCUCCCGGUUCUUUCCACCACUUCUCGGCGUCAAGACAGUGAAGUCGAGGUCAACAGAA